AUUGAACGCUGGCGGCAGGCCUAACACAUGCAAGUCGAACGAGUGGCGGACGGGUGAGUAAUGUCUGGGAAACUGCAUGAUGGAGGGGGAUAACUACUGGAAACGGUAGCUAAUACCGCAUACCAUCAGAUGUGCCCAGAUGGGAUUAGCUUGUUGGUGGGGUAACGGCUCACCAAGGCGACGAUCCCUAGCUGGUCUGAGAGGAUGACAAGCCACACUGGAACUGAGAUCAGUUCCAGACUCCUACGUGAGGCAGCAGUGGGGAAUAUGGCACAAUGGGCGAAAGCCGGAUGCAGCGAUGCCGCGUGUAUGAAGAAGUCCUUCGGGUUGUAAAGUACUGUCAGCGGGGAUGCGUUACCCGCAGAAGAAGCACCGGCUAACUCCGUGCCAGCAGCCGCGGUAAUUC
rnacentral:rRNA from 1 species